GACAAACGCUGGCGGCAUGCCUAACACAUGCAAGUCGAACGGACAGAACAGGGAAGCUUUUCGGAGUGGAACUGGAAAGUUAGUGGCGGAUGGGUGAGUAACGCGUGGACAACCUACCUUGUAAAGGGGAAUAACCUCGAGAAAUCGAAGCUAAUACCCCAUAAUAACCUUGCUUCGCAUGAAGUAAGGAGGAAAGGCGGCCUUAGCGCUGUCGAUACAAGAUGGGUCCGCGUCUGAUUAGCUAGUUGGUGAGGUAUAGGCUCACCAAGGCGACGAUCAGUAGCCGGCCUGAGAGGGUGAACGGCCACAUUGGGACUGAGACACGGCCCAAACUCCUACGGGAGGCAGCAGUGGGGAAUCUUCCGCAAUGGGCGAAAGCCUGACGGAGCAAUGCCGCGUGAGUGAAGAAGGCCUUCGGGUUGUAAAACUCUGUCCUUAUCGAAGAGAGAGUGUUGUAGUAACUGACAAUACUAGGACGGUAGAUGAGGAGGAAGCCCCGGCUAACUAUGUG
rnacentral:rRNA from 1 species